rnacentral:rRNA from 1 species
CCUACGGGCGGCAGCAGUGGGGGAUAUUGCACAAUGGGGGGAACCCUGAUGCAGCGACGCCGCGUGUGGGAAGACGGUCCUCUGGAUUGUAAGCCACGGUCCCCAGGGACGAAAAGGACGGUACCUGGGGAGGAAGCUCCAGCUAACUACGGGCCAGCAGCCGCGGUAAUACGUAGGGAGCGAGCGUUGUCGGGAAUUACGGGGUGUAAGGGGAGCGUAGGCGGGGAUGAAAGUUGGGUGUAAAAACUACCGGCUCAACUGGUAGUCGCACUCAAAACUGCAGGUCUUGAGUGAAGUAGAGGCAGGCGGAAUUCCUGGUGUAGCGGUGAAAUGCGUAGAUAUGAGGAGGAACACCAGUGGCGAAGGCGGCCUGCUGGGCUUUUACUGACGCUGAGGCUCGAAAGUGUGGGGAGCAAACAGGAUUAGAUACCCUUGUAGUC